ensembl:lncRNA
AUGACUUGGAGUGGAAAAAAAUCACUUCCAAACUUGCAUAUCUUAGACAUUUUGCCUCUAGCUGUAUAUAGUCCUCAGGUAAGCAGAGGUACCUUGAAAGAUGGGCAUACAUUUGUGUCAAACAAAAUUUUAAUUUUCUCAGACUUCCUUUCUCUGCAUGUAAUCCGCAGACCAAAGCUCAAGGAGGGGGAAAUCCAAAAUGAUGGAACCAGGGUGAAAUAUUCUGUCAUUUACUACUCUUCCCCUCUGAGGCUCCCCAGCCGUUNNNNNNNNNNNNNNNNNNNNNNNNNNNNNNNNCACACACACACACACACACACACACACACACACACACACACACCCUCUCCUGGGCUCCCCCCCAAAAUCCUCCAGUUGGUGGAAAUGGCAGCAGAACCCUAAUCUGGAGCCCAAGUUGAACCCUUCCACAGAGUCAAAACCACAACCAGGAAGCAUUUGCCCAGCACUCAGAUGUGCAAAACACAGCAGCACAGCAAGUUUUCCGUUUCAGACCUAACUCUGAUUCCUCCAGUGCAAACUGCCUCCUCACUUGCCUUUAAGGGUGUCAUUUCUGCAGUGAACUUUCUUGAAAAAUCACCCUUCUGUGAGUCUCCUUUUAGUAGAUCUCUCCCUGUCUUUCCCUUCUACUUGGCAACAGAAGGCAUUUCUGUCCCCCUUAGAGCACCCUGGCAUGACCCAGGGCUCCUGGGGGAAUUCUUCAAAGAAACAGGUUCUUGCUUGACCCCAACCUACUAACACAAAGAGUCCAUCACAGGAAGGCCCAGGUCUUGGCUGAGUGAGCCCAGCAUCGCCACCCACCAAGCACAGCUGCUCUGCUAAUUUUAGAACUCUGAGAAGCCACCUGACUUCAAGGCACUCAUGAGAUACUCAUCACACCCUAUAUCUGGAGCUGAUCUGGGGUGGGGCCCGCUCCUUGUUCUUCACACCCAGAACACCUUUGAGAGCUAGAAAAGUGACUUUGAGGGAGGCGACUCUGAAUAAAUGACAAAAAGAUAAAGCGACCCUCGAUCCGCUAGCAAACUGCAAAUUGUUUCAACCUGGUCGAGCUCCCAGCAUUGGACUGGUCUGUCCAGUGACCUGACCUCCACCUGACAUUCAGAUCCCACCUCCCAUUUCAUGUGUCUGAAGUGGGACUCACCAGCUUCCCCCAGACCCUUGCCUCCUGUCUGCUUGUCUGGGGCAUAUCCUGUUUCCCAAGUGAGGAUCCUCAGGUCAACACUGACUGCCUCCCCCUCCUCUCCAGUCACUAAAUAUAAAGUUCAAGCUACUUUAUCUCCUAACAGGGGUUCAUAAGCUUCUCCCCAUUCCCACAGUCUUUGCUCUCCAUCCUGUUCUCUUCAGGGAUUCCCAAGCGGCACAGUGGUAAAGAAUCCGUCUGCCAGUGCAGGAGACACAAGAGAUUUGGGUUCAAUCCCUGGGUCGGGAAGAUCCCCUGGAGGAGGAAAUGGCANNNNNNNNNNNNNNNNNNNNNNNNNNNNNNNNNNNNNNNNNNNNNNNNNNNNNNNNNNNNNNNNNNNNNNNNNNNNNNNNNNNNNNNNNNNNNNNNNNNCCCUGGGUCGGGAAGAUCCCCUGGAGGAGGAAAUGGCAACCCACUCCAGGGCUCUUGCCUGGAGAAUCCCAAGGACAGAGGAACCCGGCGGGCUACAGUCCAUGGGCUUGCAAAGAGUUGGCCAUGACUGAGCUCACACGCCUGUGCACAGGUUCUCUUCAGCCCUCACCUGCUCACUGUAACAGUUGCCGGCAGGCUCCCUGCCUACUUUUUCAUACUCUUAAGCCCAACUACCAAGGCCAUUUUUCUAAAACCACAUCUAUUUCUAGCUUAAACCCUUAAAGUUUUCCUGGCAGGCUCUCCACACUAUUUGCAUGUUAGAAUCACCUGGGCAGGGUAAAAAAAAAAAGUCAAUGCCCAGCUUCCCACCCCCAGAGAUUCUGAUUUGAUUGACAGGAUGGGACAAAGCAUCCAUAUUUCUUUUUGAGAUUCCCUAGAAAACUGAUGUGCAGCCAGGGUGGAGAGCCACUGACCACCAGGAUGGAGUCCAAGCUCCUUCCCACAGCACCCAAGACUUUUCUUGACUGGGCCCCUGCCCACCUCUCCCAUCAGCCUCUCUCCUGGCAUCUCCAUACCUUUAUGUCCCAGAAACACUGAGCCGCUUACAGUUCCCGCCACCACACCAUUGCUCAUCUGUUCCCGAACCUGAAACACCCUCCUUAUUGGCCCAGCAUCACCUUCUACAGGAACCCAUGCCUGAUGCAUCACCUCAGCACCUUCCCUCACUCCCCGGUGCUCCAUAAAACCUUGGGUGUGCCUCUGUUACUGAACAUCCACAUUAUUCUGUGGUGAUUUAUGUACCCAUCUUCCUCAAGCAAAAGAGAGAGAUUAUUUCCAUAGGGUUACUUCAUGGAGCCCUAAGCUGCUCAUACUAUAGAUGGGCCUCUCAAUCAUGGGGACCCUGAAUUUGGAAAGCUGCUUGGAAUCAAGGCACUUCUUCUCAGUCACCUUCUCACUGGGGUUAUAUGGGCUCUGCUGUCUCUUUAUUGCUUCUGGAUCUUCUUGGCAGACAACAUUCUCUACCUGUAUGUGCCAGAUGGGCCCCAAAUGGCCACUCCAUAAAGGCAGGCUCAGCUCCUCAAUGUACAUGUUUUCAC